GUGCUCAUUUUGGCAGAACAUACACUAAAACUGGAACAAUACAGAGAAGAUUAACAUGGCUCCUGCACAAGGAUGACAUGCAAAUUCACAAAGCAUUCCGUAUUUAA
ensembl:snRNA U6 U6 spliceosomal RNA